rnacentral:lncRNA from 1 species
GCGAAGCGGCUGCACCUUCCGGGCCAGAUUGGAGUUCGAAGAGUGGCGGGGACCCCAAAAGCUCGGGGCCGGGCGAUGGCUGCAGCCUCGGGAGGGUACCCGCCGGAUCGAACCCUGGGAGAGGGAAGCAAAGGCGUGGAACCUCCGCACACUGGAUGAGAAUCCAUCUUCCACUCGAGCUGGGAAUAGACUUUGUAAAAGAUAUUAUGUAAUGGAGUCUCGGGCACCCUGAGACCUCUCCAGCGAAGCUGAAAUGAAUUAAGUGCUUUAAACGGUCUUGGUAAAUAUUCCGCGGGAGCUGGGGAGGACCGUAGAGGAUGGCUGUAGCUGGAGUUGAAUUUUAACUGUCCUCAUCCUGGGUUUUGUCGCUCUGCUGUCUGUGCCGAGGUGAGGAAUUUGAGGUAGAGGAGGUUGUGUAUCUUGCCAAGGCCUCAGAACUCUGUGUGUGGACAUUAAGCUUAGAAUUCAUCCCAUUCUGCCUUAACUACCUCAAUUCAAGACAUUCUUCUGGAAAGGUGGAAAAAGCAAGUGUAAGAAAACUGAGAAGAGAGGACCCAAUCACGCAUACUUGUGAAGAGGAGGAAUUUCCAUCUGUUGCAAUGCUCCCCACCUCUCUGUUCU